GACGAACGCUGGCGGCGUGCUUAACACAUGCAAGUCGAACGGAAAGGCCCUGCUUUUGUGGGGUGCUCGAGUGGCGAACGGGUGAGUAACACGUGAGUAACCUGCCUUGACUUUGGGAUAACUUCAGGAAACUGGGGCUAAUACCGGAUAGGAGCUCCUGCUGCAUGGUGGGGGUUGGAAAGUUUCGGCGGCUGGGGAUGGACUCGCGGCUUAUCAGCUUGUUGGUGGGGUAGUGGCUUACCAAGGCUUUGACGGGUAGCCGGCCUGAGAGGGUGACCGGCCACAUUGGGACUGAGAUACGGCCCAGACUCCUACGGGAGGCAGCAGUGGGGAAUAUUGCACAAUGGGCGGAAGCCUGAUGCAGCAACGCCGCGUGCGGGAUGACGGCCUUCGGGUUGUAAACCGCUUUCGCCUGUGACGAAGCGUGAGUGACGGUAAUGGGUAAAGAAGCACCGGCUAACUACGUG
rnacentral:rRNA from 1 species